rnacentral:rRNA from 1 species
GUCUGCAGCCAUGCCACCUGCAGCACAGAGUAGGUAAUGUAUCUGAAGUAAAGUAGGUUUGGGCCUGACCAGUGCUUGGAUGGGAAACCAGCUAGAAAAGCUGGGUUGGUGUUGGUG